rnacentral:rRNA from 1 species
GAUGAACGCUGGCGGCGUGCUUAACACAUGCAAGUCGAACGGAAAGGCCAGUGCUUGCACUGGCGCUCGAGUGGCGAACGGGUGAGUAACACGUGGGUGAUCUGCCCUGCACUUUGGGAUAAGCCUGGGAAACUGGGUCUAAUACCAGAUAGGACCAUGCUUUGGAUGGUGUGGUGGAAUGUUUUUUCGGUGUGGGAUGAGCUUGCGGCCUAUCAGCUUGUCGGUGGGGUAAUGGCCUACCAAGGCGUCGACGGGUAGCCGGCCUGAGAGGGUGUACGGCGACAUUGGGACUGAGGUGCGGCCCAGACUCCUACGGGAGGCAGCAGUGGGGAAUAUUGAAGGAUGGGCGCCAGCCUGAUGCAGAGACUCCGCGUGUCGGAUGACUGCCUUCGGGUUGUAAACUACUUUCGCAACUGACGAAGCAUUUUGUGACGGUAGCUUGAGAAGAAGCACCGGCUAACUACGUG